GACGAACGCUGGCGGCGUGCUUAACACAUGCAAGUCGAGCGGUAAGGCCCUUUCGGGGGUACACGAGCGGCGAACGGGUGAGUAACACGUGGGUGACCUGCCCUCAGCUCUGGGAUAAGCCCGGGAAACUGGGUCUAAUACUGGAUAUGACUCCAUGACGCAUGUUGUGGGGUGGAAAGCCUUGUGCGGCUGAGGAUGGGCCCGCGGCCUAUCAGCUUGUUGGUGGGGGAUGGCCUACCAAGGCGACGACGGGUAGCCGGCCUGAGAGGGCGACCGGCCACACUGGGACUGAGACACGGCCCAGACUCCUACGGGAGGCAGCAGUGGGGAAUCUUGCGCAAUGGGCGAAAGCCUGACGCAGCGACGCCGCGUGAGGGAUGACGGCCUGGUG
rnacentral:rRNA from 1 species